UACGUAGGGUGCAAGCGUUGUCCGGAAUUAUUGGGCGUAAAGAGCUCGUAGGCGGUCUGUCGCGUCUGCUGUGAAAACCCGAGGCUCAACCUCGGGCCUGCAGUGGGUACGGGCAGACUAGAGUGCGGUAGGGGAGAAUGGAAUUCCUGGUGUAGCGGUGGAAUGCGCAGAUAUCAGGAGGAACACCGGUGGCGAAGGCGGGUCUCUGGGCCGAUACUGACGCUGAGGAGCGAAAGCGUGGGGAGCGAACAGG
rnacentral:rRNA from 1 species